rnacentral:rRNA from 1 species
GAUGAACGCUGGCGGCGUGCCUAAUACAUGCAAGUCGAGCGAAGCGGGGACGGGUGCGUAACACGUGGAUAACCUCCUAUAAGACUGGGAUAACUUAGGGAAACCGGAGCUAAACCGGAUACAUAUAGAUGGAUCCUCGCUGCAUUUGAUAGUUGGUAAGGUAACGGCUUACCAAGGCAACGAUGCAUAGCCGACCUGCGAGGGUGAUCGGCACCACUAGACCUGAAACGAGGUCCAGACUCCUACGGGAGGCAGCAGUAGGGUAUCUUCCGCAAUGGGCGAAAGCCUGACGGAGCAACCCCGCGUGAGUGAUGAAGUUCUUCGGAUCUUAAAACUCUGUUAUUAGGGAAGCGGUACCUAAGCAGAAAGCCACGGCUAACUACGUGCCAGCAGCCGCGGUAAUAC